rnacentral:rRNA from 1 species
UACGUAGGGUGCAAGCGUUAAUCGGAAUUACUAGGCGUAAAGCGUGCGCAGGCGGUUUUGUAAGUCUGUCGUGAAAGCCCCGGGCUUAACCUGGGAAUUGCGAUGGAGACUGCAAGGCUAGAAUCUGGCAGAGGGGGGUAGAAUUCCACGUGUAGCAGUGAAAUGCGUAGAUAUGUGGAGGAACACCGAUGGCGAAGGCAGCCCCCUGGGUCAAGAUUGACGCUCAUGCACGAAAGCGUGGGGAGCAAACAGG